rnacentral:rRNA from 1 species
UACGGGAGGCAGCAGUGGGGAAUUUUCCGCAAUGGGCGAAAGCCUGACGGAGCAAUACCGCGUGAGGGAGGAAGGCUCUUGGGUUGUAAACCUCUUUUCUCAGGGAAGAAGCUCUGACGGUACCUGAGGAAUCAGCAUCGGCUAACUCCGUGCCAGCAGCCGCGGUAAUACNGGAGGAUGCAAGCGUUAUCCGGAAUGAUUGGGCGUAAAGCGUCCGCAGGUGGCGAUUCAAGUCUGCUGUCAAAGGUCGGGGCUCAACCCUGAACAGGCGGUGGAAACUGAACAGCUAGAGUGCGGUAGGGGUAGAGGGAAUUCCCGGUGUAGCGGUGAAAUGCGUAGAGAUCGGGAAGAACACCAGUGGCGAAAGCGCUCUACUAGGCCUGCACUGACACUCAGGGACGAAAGCUAGGGGAGCGAAUGGGAUUAGAUACCCCAGUAGUCCUAGCCNGUAAACGAUGGAUACUAGGCGUGGCUUGUAUCGACCCGAGCCGUGCCGGAGCUAACGCGUUAAGUAUCCCGCCUGGGGAGUACGCGCGCAAGCGUGAAACUCAAAAGAAUUGACGG